rnacentral:rRNA from 1 species
UGGGGAAUAUUGCACAAUGGGCGCAAGCCUGAUGCAGCCAUGCCGCGUGUAUGAAGAAGGCCUUCGGGUUGUAAAGUACUUUCAGCGGGGAGGAAGGCGAUAAGGUUAAUAACCUUGUCGAUUGACGUUACCCGCAGAAGAAGCACCGGCUAACUCCGUGCCAGCCGCCGCGGUAAUACGGAGGGUGCAAGCGUUAAUCGGAAUUACUGGGCGUAAAGCGCACGCAGGCGGUCUGUCAAGUCGGAUGUGAAAUCCCCGGGCUCAACCUGGGAACUGCAUUCGAAACUGGCAGGCUAGAGUCUUGUAGAGGGGGGUAGAAUUCCAGGUGUAGCGGUGAAAUGCGUAGAGAUCUGGAGGAAUACCGGUGGCGAAGGCGGCCCCCUGGACAAAGACUGACGCUCAGGUGCGAAAGCGUGGGGAGCAAACA